rnacentral:rRNA from 1 species
AGUGGCGGACGGGUGAGUAAUGCAUAGGAAUUUGCCUCGAGGUGGGGGAUAGCCCGGAGAAAUCCGGAUUAAUACCGCGUAACCUCUACGGAGCAAAGUGGGCCUCUUCUUGAAAGCUCACGCCUGGAGAUAAGCCUAUGUCGGAUUAGCUUGUUGGUGGGGUAACGGCCUACCAAGGCGACGAUCCGUAGCUGGUCUGAGAGGAUGAUCAGCCACACUGGAACUGAGACACGGUCCAGACUCCUACGGGAGGCAGCAGUGGGGAAUAUUGCACAAUGGGCGCAAGCCUGAUGCAGCAAUGCCGCGUGUGUGAAGAAGGCCUUCGGGUUGUAAAGCUCUUUCAGCUGGAAAGAAAUCGUCCGGACUAAUACUCCGGAUGGAUGACGGUACCGGAAGAAGAAGCACCGGCUAACUACGUGCCAGCAGCCGCGGUAAUACGUAGGGUGCAGGCGUUAAUCGGAAUUACUGGGCGUAAAGCGUGCGCAGGCGG